rnacentral:tRNA from 1 species
GCGGGAAUAGCUCAGUGGUAGAGCAUAACCUUGCCAAGGUUGGGGCCGCGGGUUCGAUCCCCGUUUCCCGCUCCA